rnacentral:rRNA from 1 species
CACGUAGGGGGCGAGCGUUGUCCGGAUUUAUUGGGCGUAAAGAGCUCGUAGGCGGCUCAGUAAGUCGGGUGUUAAACCCCCAGGCUCAACCUGGGGACGCCACUCGAUACUGCUGUGACUAGAGUCCGGUAGGGGAGCGUGGAAUUCCUGGUGUAGCGGUGAAAUGCGCAGAUAUCAGGAGGAACACCAGCGGCGAAGGCGGCGCUCUGGGCCGGUACUGACACUGAGGAGCGAAAGCGUGGGUAGCAAACAGG